AUCCAGCUGACCUGUCCCAGAUAGGACGAAUCGCGCGUCCUGGAU
rnacentral:hammerhead_ribozyme from 1 species